CAUGGAAGGGGCGCAGCCUGACCGCAAUGCCGCGUGCAGGAAGAAGGCCUUCGGGUUGUAAACUGCUUUUGUCAGGGAAGAAAUCCUCUGGGUUAAUACCUCGGGGGGAUGACGGUACCUGAAGAAUAAGCACCGGCUAACUACGUGCCAGCAGCCGCGGUAAUACGUAGGGUGCGAGCGUUAAUCGGAAUUACUGGGCGUAAAGCGUGCGCAGGCGGCUUUGCAAGACAGAUGUGAAAUCCCCGGGCUCAACCUGGGAACUGCAUUUGUGACUGCAAGGCUAGAGUACGGUAGAGGGGGAUGGAAUUCCGCGUGUAGCAGUGAGAUGCGUAGAUAUGCGGAGGAACACCAAUGGCGAAGGCAAUCCCCUGGACCUGUACUGACGCUCAUGCACGAAAG
rnacentral:rRNA from 1 species